GUUCUCUAGCCGAGUUCUCAAAUUGCAGAUGUGAUUCUUCUAGCAUAAGGACUGCUGUUAUAAAUCAAGGCAAUGAUAAUUCAGUUUCUGAACUUUCAAGAGAAAUGUGUGUUUCUGCUCAUUCAGAAAGCACUACUUCUGGUAGCAGAAAAGACAAUGGAAUUGUAUGGAAGCCUGUACUGACAUCAGCUUUUCAAACUGAAUCAGUUAUUCCAAAUGUUUUAACCAAUACCUGUGAUAACCGAGAUAGACAUCCAGAUGUAAAUGGAGUUAAUACAGGUUCUAAUUCUGGGCAAUUGGGUUUUAUGGCUGAUAAAUCCAUGUCCAAAUCCAGCGAAGUCCUGAUGAGCUGAGGGCACUCUAUUCAGCAAGAACAGUCAGAUGAUAUGUUCAAUAUUACAAGUUCAAGCAGAACCAAGGAUGAGUGUGUUGAUGAAGGUAGAGGCAAAAAGAAAAAGAAAGCUUAAAGUUCAUUUCGACGAGUUGAAUUUUCCGGAGAAAUCAGUCAGAAGAAUACGACGAAUAAAGAUAAUGCGGUACCUCGGCCUUGUGGCCCCUGCUGGUUCUCCCUAUUCCGUCGCACAUGCGAGUUCACCUUGACAAGGUGCAAAUAACUUCCUGAUAUAUAUAUAUAUAUAUAUAUAUAGAUGCUACCUUUGAUUGUUUGUCAUAGAGUCGACAUUUUUUUAGUUAAGCAUCAUAAUGUCAUCCUUAAUUGUGCUUGUUAAAAGUGUUAAAAGUUAAUCCUUUGUUCUUUGAGUUUGAUUAACAAUGACAUUUUUUUUUCGAAUCAUUAAUAGAAUGCAUUUGUU